GACACUAGGAUACCGAAUACUAGGUAUAAAAUGACGACCAAUCAAAAGGAGAGACAAUCAUUACCAACCAAGAGUAAAAUGAAAGAUAACUCGCUGGGGGAUACAUUGACAAAGGUAAUGAUCCGGGAGAUAUAUCACCGGUUACUGGGAGAUAUACUCAAAAAGUGAAGGAAUAUCAAUACCAAAUAUUGGAUAAAGAUAACCAACAAAUAGG
rnacentral:lncRNA from 1 species